UACGUAGGGGGCAAGCGUUGUCCGGAAUCAUUGGGCGUAAAGAGCGCGUAGGCGGUCCGAUAAGUCGGCUGUGAAAGUCAGGGGCUCAACCCUUGAAAGCCGGCCGAUACUGUCGGACUAGAGUUCGGAAGAGGCGAGUGGAAUUCCCGGUGUAGCGGUGAAAUGCGCAGAUAUCGGGAGGAACACCAAUGGCGAAGGCAGCUCGCUGGGACGUGACUGACGCUGAGGCGCGAAAGCGUGGGGAGCAAACAGG
rnacentral:rRNA from 1 species